UACAUGGAUACAUGAUUGCCUAGGUGCGAGUAAUGGCAUGUCUAUGAGUAGGAAGGUUGACUGUUAUUGUUCUUCAGGAAAGACGUGUUAGCAUGAUUGAGUUUAGCUCUAGUGCUCUCAUGAUCUACUAACGUUCAAGGCACGAAGCUGAAAUACGAUUAGAGAUGGUGUUGCGAGUGUUUUGUUGACGGAUGUUAUCCUAGUAUGGAAGAAUGAUGUUUCUUUGGCUGCAGGUAUUUCGGUAUAGUUGAUGGGUUGGUAGCAAUGUACUUGGGAUAUUAUGACUGAAGUUCACCGCGACAGUUGUAAUUGUCGGACCACGGGUUGUCCACUAUUUUAUAGGUUUGGUAUGGCUUGUGACGUUUGUGUCACUUAUUCUUUGUUAAGUCAUUAUUGUUAUGUAAAUAUUGUGUUAAUAAGACUCAAACAGAUAGAUGUUAAAUGGCUCAAUGUUGUAAUUAAUUUGUGAUAGAUGUAUAAGUUGUAAUUUCCGCUAUUCA